AGUGGCGGACGGGUGAGUAACGCGUAAGAAUCUAACUUCAGGACGGGGACAACAGUGGGAAACGACUGCUAAUACCCGAUGUGCCGCGAGGUGAAACCUAAUUGGCCUGAAGAAGAGCUUGCGUCUGAUUAGCUAGUUGGUGGGGUAAGAGCCUACCAAGGCGACGAUCAGUAGCUGGUCUGAGAGGAUGAGCAGCCACACUGGGACUGAGACACGGCCCAGACUCCUACGGGAGGCAGCAGUGGGGAAUUUUCCGCAAUGGGCGAAAGCCUGACGGAGCAACGCCGCGUGAGGGAGGAAGGUCUUUGGAUUGUAAACCUCUCUUCUCAAGGAAGAAGUUCUGACGGUACUUGAGGAAUCAGCCUCGGCUAACUCCGUGCCAGCAGCCGCGGUAAUACGGGGGAGGCAAGCGUUGUCCGGAAUUAUUGGGCGUAAAGCGUCCGCAGGUGGUCAGCCAAGUCUGCCGUCAAAUCAGGUUGCUUAACGACCUAAAGGCGGUGGAAACUGGCAGACUAGAGAGCAGUAGGGGUAGCAGGAAUUCCCAGUGUAGCGGUGAAAUACGUAGAGAUUGGGAAGAACAUCGGUGGCGAAAGCGUGCUACUGGGCUGUAUCUGACACUCAGGGACGAAAGCUAGGGGAGCGAAAGGGAUUAGAUACCCCUGUAGUCCUAGCCGUAAACGAUGGAUACUAGGCGUGGCUU
rnacentral:rRNA from 1 species